rnacentral:lncRNA from 1 species
AGCAGAUAUGGGGUCUUUAAGGGUCAGGGGCAUCCCUGCACCGGGGCAUGGAGCCGAAGGCUGGAUUUCAUUCCCCUCUUGAACUGUGAAGAAUGUAUUGUGGGAGGGGCAGGCAGAAGUCCAUGCCCAGAGGCCCCCAGAAGCAUGAGGCUGGGGACUCCGGCCCUGCAGAAAACCCCAGAACAAUGAUGUCUGUCCUCAGCGGGGCCAUGUGGAGUGCCACCUCGAGGAGUGCCAGGCCCUCUCCUGCCCCCAUGGCUGGGCGAAGGUGCCCCAGGCUGACAGCUGCUGUGAGCGAUGCCAAGCUCCCACCCAGUCCUGCGUGCACCAGGGCCGUGAGGUGGCCUCUGGAGAGCGCUGGACUGUGGACACCUGCACCAGCUGCUCCUGCAUGGCGGGCACCGUGCGUUGCCAGAGCCAGCGCUGCUCACCGCUCUCGUGUGGCCCCGACAAGGCCCCUGCCCUGAGUCCUGGCAGCUGCUGCCCCCGCUGCCUGCCUCGGCCCGCUUCCUGCAUGGCCUUCGGAGACCCCCAUUACCGCACCUUCGACGGCCGCCUGCUGCACUUCCAGGGCAGUUGCAGCUAUGUGCUGGCCAAGGACUGCCACAGCGGGGACUUCAGUGUGCACGUGACCAAUGAUGACCGGGGCCGGAGCGGUGUGGCCUGGACCCAGGAGGUGGCGGUGCUGCUGGGAGACAUGGCCGUGCGGCUGCUGCAGGACGGGGCAGUCACGGUGGAUGGGCACCCGGUGGCCUUGCCCUUCCUGCAGGAGCCGCUGCUGUAUGUGGAGCUGCGAGGACACACUGUGAUCCUGCACGCCCAGCCCGGGCUCCAGGUGCUGUGGGAUGGGCAGUCCCAGGUGGAGGUGAGCGUACCUGGCUCCUACCAGGGCCGGACUUGUGGGCUCUGUGGGAACUUCAAUGGCUUUGCCCAGGACGAUCUGCAGGGCCCUGAGGGGCUGCUCCUGCCCUCGGAGGCUGCGUUUGGGAAUAGCUGGCAGGUGCAAGAGGGCCGCGGGUAUCCCCCAGGGCUGGAGCUGCCCCCUGUACUGCUGCAGAUGGAGUGGAGCCGGCGGGCCCAGGAGCAGCUCCUGUGGGACUUGGAACUGCUGACUGGUGUGGAGCUGGGCCUCUUCUGGCCACCCCAGGCCCAGUUUUUCGGUCCGAGGGGCCAGGCCCAGCAAGCAUGGAGCCAGUGCUGUCAGCCAGGUGGUAGCACAGGUGGGGACCCUGAGCAGCCGAUACUGAAGGCCAGCUGUGAUGGCUCACGCCUGUAAUCCCAGCACUUUGGGAGGCCGAGGCAGGUGGAUUGCUUGAACCCAGGAGUUUGAGACCAGAAUGGGCCACAUAGAAAUUGGGAUGGCGGUUCUUGUUAAGCUCCCCUAUGCCGCCCAGCAGGAAACCAGUCACCGUGUCCUCGUCUCCGAUCACUGCGAUGAGCUUACCCCUCCCCGCCAUCCCUGCAGCCGGGCAGAGCUCACCCUAGAGCACCAGAAGCCACUGAAACCCCGCCUCCGCCGUACGGCGCCCCGUCGGCCUCAACCCCCACCCUUCGAGCAUGCGCAGUCCUCCCAGCCGCAUUCCGGGACAUGCGCAUUAACAGCAACACGGCCUCCAUGUGAAUACGCCUGCGCCGUAAAGACAGGCCCGAACCAGGGGACUACGAUUCCCAGAAGACCGCGCGGCACCACGUCCUUCGCGGGCAUUCAUUCGUUCAUUCACUCGUUCCUUGGUUCAUUCGUUCAACAAGCGCUUUGGACCUGACGCUGUUAGACGCCGAGACCCCAGAGAAGAGACGCAGUUACUCAUCUCAAGGGCAGGGUCUGGGUCUUUAUCGUGUAUGUAUGUGUGUAACUAUGACACAUAGUUAACAAGUAACACACGUUUGUUCAGUUAAAGGAAUGCAAAAGUU